rnacentral:misc_RNA from 1 species
GGAAGGAUCAUUGAAUCUCGGAAUGAACACUUGAAAGGAUGCGAAGCUUGAGUUGGAGAUCGACCUGAGCUUCACAAACACAUCUGCACCCAACAUCAAUCAAACCACUUGACGACAAUCAGCUCGGCUGAUGGUCAACAACCAACACAACUCUCAACAACGGAUAUCUUGGCUCUCGCAACGAUGAAGAACGCAGCGAAAUGCGAUACGUAGUGUGAAUUGCAGAAUUCCGUGAACCAUCGAAUCUUUGAACGCAUAUUGCGCCCGAAGCUUCGGCUCAGGGCAUGCCUGCCUCAGCGUCGUAUAUUACCGGGGUUAAGUAGAACUUGUUCACUUAGUUCCACGUCACACACCCCCGUGCAAUCCCCCCCUUGUUCGGCGUGACGAUCUUGAUCUUCCCAAGACCAUGUUGUCGUGGGUUGAUUGAAUAUGAGGACAUGAGCGAGGUACACAAGCGUCUCAACUGGACAGGUUCGCAUCACACCGUAUGCGCAACAUGAAUAGUUGAGGCGUGGGCUUUGCAAAUGUCAGCAGGAAGCCAAGCGAUUGGCGAUACAUACCUUUGACCUGAGCUCAGGCAAGAUUACCCGCUGAACUUAAGCAUAUCAAUAAGCGGAGGAAAAGAAACUAACAAGGAUUCCCUUAGUAACGGCGAGCGAACAGGGAAAAGCCCAACUGUAAAUCUCCCUCUGGAGAAUUGUAGUCUGUAGAAGCUUCCUCUGUGGCUUGCGGAGCCUAAGUCCCCUGGAAAGGGGCGUCAAAGAGGGUGACAACCCCGUCGGUUCCUGCCAAGUCGCUUCACGAGGUGCUUUCGAAGAGUCGGGUUGCUUGGGAAUGCAGCCCAAAGUGGGUGGUAAAUCCCAUCUAAGGCUAAAUACUGGCGAGAGACCGAUAGCGAACAAGUACCGUGAGGGAAAGAUGAAAAGAACUUUGAAAAGAGAGUUAAAAAGUGCUUGAAAUUGUUGAGAGGGAAGCGUUUGGAAGAUGCGGGUGCGCCUAGGCUUACGCGUCUUUAACGAGCCGUUGUAUGUGCUAGGUGCUGGUCAACAUGGGUUGCAAUGGUGGGAUAACCGCAAGGAUUGCUACCUUGUCUAUACCACCGUUGCGACCAAGGCGUGAAGGACGCCCUUGCCCUUCGGGAGCAGCGUUCUCAAGAUGUUGGCAGAAGUCUUCCAACCGGCCCGUCUUGAAACACGGACCAAGGAGUCUAACAUGUAUGCGAGUUGGUGGGUUGCAAACCCAUGAAGCGCAAGGAAACUAACUGGUGGGAUGGCCUGUGCCUGCACCAUCUACCGACCAUGAGCUUUUGCGAAAGGUUUGAGUGCGAGCAUACCUGUUGGGACCCGAAAGAUGGUGAACUAUGCCUGAGCAGGGCGAAGUCAGAGGAAACUCUGAUGGAGGCUCGUAGAUGUGCUGACGUGCAAAUCGCUUUUCGGACUUGGGUAUAGGGGCGAAAGACUAAUCGAACCAUCUAGUAGCUGGUUCCCUC